rnacentral:rRNA from 1 species
AAGAUUGAUCGAGUGAAAGCACUUUGGAGAAUUAAAAAGUACGUGAAACAGAAUGAAAGGGAAGCGCUUGCAACCAGACUUGUCCGCAGUUGCUCAGCCGGUCUCCUGACCGGCGUACUCUUCUGCGGCCAGGCCAGCAUCAGUUCGGGCGGUCGGAUAAAGGCCUCGGGAAUGUAGCUCCUCUCGGGGAGUGUUAUAGCCCGGGGUGGAAUGCGACCAGCCUGGACUGAGGAUCUCGCUUCGGCAAGGAUGCUGGCGUAAUGGUUGUAAGCGGCCCGUCUUGAAACACGGACCAAGA